rnacentral:rRNA from 1 species
UACGUAGGGUGCAAGCGUUGUCCGGAAUUAUUGGGCGUAAAGAGCUCGUAGGUGGCUUGUCACGUCGGGUGUGAAAUCCCAGGGCUUAACCCUGGGUCUGCAUUCGAUACGGGCUGGCUAGGGUCCUUCAGGGGAGACUGGAAUUCCUGGUGUAGCGGUGAAAUGCGUAGAUAUCAGGAGGAAUACCUAUGGCGAAAGCAGGUAUCUGGGCCAUCACUGACGCUGAGCUGCGAAAGCUAGGGGAGCAAACAGG